rnacentral:snoRNA from 1 species
GGAGAAGCAAAGUGAUGAGCAUUACUGGCUGGAGCCCCAAAGAGGCACGUGUGUGUGUGUGUGUGUGUGUGUGUGUGUGUGUGUGUGUCUGUGUCUCUGUCUCUGUCCUUGUCUAUGAAUGCACACAUAUGUCUGGGAGUACGAAUGUGUGUGACUGGUUGUAGGGAACUAGUUAUGUGCCUUCUGUUGGACCAUGACAGUCAAACUGAUAAGAUCUGAUUGCUUC